GAGCCGUUGCCAAAAGAAUCCGAAAGAAUAAUAUAACAUUAGUAAAGCCAGUGAUUGUUCACUCACCUCAGUUACGGUACUCACUACUCUCUGCGCCGCCGCCGUCUCGUCUCCGCCGCAGCUCCGUUUUGCUUCAACCGAGGUACUUCUCUCUCUGUAAUAUCUCUGUUUUGUUUCGCUUUUACGAUUUCUCCAUUAGAAACUUUUCACUGAAAACUGAAGAAGAUGCAUGUUGUUACUAUUUCACUAAUACUGUUCUGAUUCAUAGUAUUGAUUUUAGUUUACACAACUGUAUUCAUUGCUCAUUUUUUUUAAAUGAUUAUCGGUGUUGACGUGUCCGGUGUUCGUGUCUGAGUCCAUGCUUCGUAGGAUUGGAUGCCUGUGUAGAAAAGUUUUACAUUGUUAGUGCAUAGUAAUUAAUCUUUUAGAAUAUUUAAAACUUGUUUUGGAUUGCAUGUAUAAGCCAUGCUUUUGCUUUCUCUCUGUUUGCUGCCAUUUAUUUUUAUGAGAUUUUCUAAAUGAGAGAUUAUUUGCAUAUAAGUGAUUUUGUUACUGUUAGGUGUCUUAGGGUCUGUUUGUUACAGAUUAUAAAAAAACAAUUUUGAUAUUUGAUCAUUAUGGAUGGAGAUAACUUACCCUUAAUCAAUUUUCGAGUGAGAUGUUUCCAUCCAUGGUUAUUGAAUAGAGUGGUUAACGGCGAGAUAUUUCAAGCACUCAACAUUUGAAAGAGAUUUUAUAUUUCUCUCUCUUCUUUUAAAAAUGAUUUUAUUCAAAAGCUAAACAAAAUAGAUAUUUCAUUUGCAACGUAAAAAUUGGUUUUUUUAACAUGGUUUUUGAAAAAAACUUGCACACAAACAUAACUAAAACAUCAAAAAUGAUUUUUUAUAAUCUUAUACUAACGGGCCCUAAGCAUAGUGCACAAAAAGGGCUGAAGAACAAACUUUUUCUGAGGUGUAGCUCUGGCGUAUUUUUGUUUUUGGUAGAUGUAGCAAGCAAGCAAUUAAGGGUCAUUUGUAGAAAAUAUUGUUUCAGAAGAUUAUGGUAAAAAUCAUUGUACAAUCGAUAAUUGUUUUCUUCACAAAGAAUGUUAGCUGCCAUUGUUUGAGCUGUUCACAUUUGUACCAAUUUGAAUUUUGAACUACUUGCAUUUCACCUUUAUAUCGCCUUUGUUUGUGCACAUUGCUUCCUUUGUCUCGAGUUUCAUCACUGUGGGUGUAUUUUGCAGGUAGAUUUCAUUUUUUUCGACUUUUUUUAUAAGAUGAGAAAGAACGGAUUUUUUUGGUGAAAUGGGGAAGUGUAUGGAGAAUGUUCCUUAGAAUGUUUGUUAAUGUUUUGCUUGGUUGAAACAUGGUUUAGUAUCUUUGUUUUUUAAAUUUGAAUUGUGGUUUCUUUCAAAUCACAAAGUAGUUAUUCAUUUGUUUUUUCAUGCCACUUUUUGUUAUUCUACUUUAUGAAUGGUAUAGGCAUGAUUUUAAAUUGCUGAAGUUGCAGAGAAUGAGGAUGAAUGCAUCUAUGUGGUUUCUGGUUGUAAUUUAAAAUCAUGUUGUAGAAAUUAUCUUAAUCUAUGAUAUUAUCCAUGAUGUGGGAGUGUUAUGAUGAAGUCUUUGUCAUCAUAUCCCUUAAGUGCUUAAAAUUUUAAGUCAAAUACUUGAAUAUCCUUUGCAUUUUUACAUUCAUGCUUCUUUAGAUUUUUCAAUUGAUGAGUAUAAUGCACACUGAAUAACACAGGUUAUUUCUACAACAUUCCCUGCAACACACUCAAAAGGGAUAUUUAUUUGUGAGGAAAUGGCGUCAUCAUCAUUGGUGGAAUCUCUUGUUCUUCAACUCCAUGAGAUAUCAGCUGUGAAAUUCGGCAACUUCAAGCUCAAAUCUGGCAUCU
rnacentral:lncRNA from 1 species